GUAAAAUUAUUUGAUGGGGUUAGGGUUAUUUGAUUUUGGUGUACCAAUUGGCUUUUUUUUGUGUGCUUCCCUUGCUAUGAUACACAUUUCUGAUGGGAUUGCCAUGCUUUAAGUGUAUGUUUACAUUUUUAAUCAUGUAAUAACUAACAGUCUCAAAGAUGACAUUACUCAGUUCAUGUUGUGUGAAUGUAAUAAUGGCAAACGUUUUUACAAUUUAAAUCAAUUUCAUAUAAAUAAUAUAUAUAUUUAUGUUUCCUCACAAUGUCAAAAGUGCUUGUUAAGUGCGGCAGCUUUUUUUUUAAUACAUUUUACAAUUUUAAUAUGUAAGUUAACAUUAUGUCGAGUCAGCAGGGCUAACAUUAAAACUCGCCGUUUGUAACGUUAUGUUAUGUAUUAACCUUAUAAAAGUCUGUCUAGCUUUAGCAAAUGUAACAUUAUGUCGGUCCUAAUAAAGUUAAAACGUUAUUAACGUUAGCCCUGAAUGUGAAACAUGCAUCAGCCAUCAUAACAUUAACGUUAAAUACCUGUGGUUGACUAACAUUAAUUUAAUAACGUUAGCUGUUAACUUAACGUUACAUCUUACAAGUUACUGUUGCCUCUUGCAAACAAGUAACAGUUAAGUUAACGUUAAAUAAAAGGCUAUUGCAGGUUGGAACCUUUUUUAUACAGUCUAUGGUUUAACUUAGUUAACGUAAUGUUAAGUUAGGACCUGACAAAGACUUGUCUCAGUGGCAGUUUGUUUUUAACUUAACAUUAGCAGUGGCACAUUCAGUCAGUUAACAUUAACGUUAGCUUGAUACGAAUACUAUUAAUCUAGGAAACUUUAUAACGCUACGUUGCUCCUACCGUUAAAGUAAUGUUAAAUUACUGGUAACGUAAAUACUUUACCUGUAACCUGCGCGUAACGUAACGUUACCUCCUAGUUAUACACAUGCCUGGAUUUUAACUUUCUCAGCUGACUAAGUUUGUUCUCCUUUAUAGUGAACCAGACUCAUCGUGAGUGAAAAUAACGAUUUAACAUGAACUUUCAUGUCCUCCUUAUCCAUAGUUUUUGACAGAUUGGACUAGUUAACUUACUUCAACAACUUCUGGGACAAGGCCUGGUGAGAGCCACUACAGAGGAUCAUAGCCAUUGUUGGAAUUCUGAAAGGACGUGGGUGAAUAUCAAUCUGCCAAAUGAACAUUCACAUCUGUAUAUUAAUACUGAUUAUAUAUGAACUUGUUUGUUUGUAACUGGAAAGAACUUAGCUUCUAUUGUUUUUGACUGAAGGACUUGACCGUGUUUUAAGCCUAUGUGCAUUUUCUAUUACCAGUACCUGCUCUGGCCGUGCUCCAUUUUCCAUUGCAGAUCAUACCCAGAGAUAGUACCCCUCAAUGCUGCUGGUCAGCAUAGCAAGGCCACACACAACUGCCGCGAUGUACUGUUCAAUGCGACACACACACCUGCGACCCACAUACAGCUGUCUCUUGAUUUAAGUUAAAACGUUUCAGCAUUACUCAGAAUGUAAAGACAGAUACUUAAAGGUGCUCUAAGCAAUGCCAGGAGUCGUAACUUCUUGUUGACGUUCAAAUUGUUGUCAAACAAAACAGAGGCUAGCUAGACCCUCCCUCCUCCUCAUCCGUGCACUAAGCCCCCCAAACCCCACCCCCAAAUCUUUCUUGUCGGUUAUUGGCUGUAACAGUUUGUUAUGUUUCGUGGUGCGGGUGUGCCCAGUUUGUUUUUCUUGUUGUUUGUGGAGCCUGUGGUGUCUAGAGAGACCGUGUUUUUUUACAGUGUGUUCAGGGGACAGGCAGCUAGCGGAUAGUGAGGAGAUGUUUGCAGGAUGUGACAAAAGAUGUUUUUGGCCUAAAAAACGUGUGACAUCACUUAAGAGCACCUUUAAUUAAUAUAACAUUUAAUUUAACUAAAACAAAUAUCAAAUACAUGUCUAAUACUUCAUCAACGCGUCAUACUCCUGGAAAAGACCCACAUAAAGCGCACAUUUUAAAAUGAUUAAUAUCCACAUCACUGCUGUAUUUUUUUCAGAUGUCAGAUCAAAUUGAGGGGAACAAGCCUGCAUCCCAAUGUGCACACUAUCCAUCCUAAAUAGUAUAUAAGAAAAUACAGUAUAUAUUUUUUGUACGAUAGUUGUUUUUAUAGAACAUCUCUGCAGUGAAUGUUUUUGUUUAAAUAAUUCCAAGGAUAUGAAGUAGAUUAUUAUUUUAACGUUAUUACAUUGCAUUUCUUUGUAGGCCUAUAUUUGAUGGCUUUUUUUAUUCUGAUGCGAGUGAUGUACCGUUUUUACACACUUAUCUCAUUAAAAGGGGAAAAAGUCUGUCCAUCUUCAUUUCUGAAAAUGUGUAACAUUUGAGACCCCAGCUCGGUCACAUUCAUAUUUCAUUAAUGUUAAUUAAAUAACUUGAAGUUCAGAAAGGAGUUAGAACUACCACUUGAGGUGUAGGAAACACUGGGACAUGCCAUUAUGUACAGUAAUAGUACGAUUUGAUUUGACAUUUGAACUUAAAUUGAAGUGUUCAAGCCAUUAAAGGGUUAGUUCAC
ensembl:lncRNA